rnacentral:lncRNA from 1 species
UUAUUUUGCAUAGUAUUGUUCAUAAUGAUCCACUGAAUGCACUGCACACCCAUGUUCUGGACAACUGCCUGUUUGAAGAAAUCUGCAUAUUCAGUGGGUCUAAUGUGAACAUCUCUACUACUGACUUAGCUUCACUACUUCUUAAAUGUGUUGCACUGUGAUAGUACGAACGCUUGCUGUAUUUACCACAUGGUUGUUUCAUUUCGUCUGGGGCAGUAGUGGCCGUUAGCAGAUGUCAUUUGGCCUUAAGUGCAAUAUUUUUAUGUUGCAUAUUAUGGUUCAUACUGAUCCAUUGAAUGCACUGCACAACCAUGUUCUGGACAACUGCCUGUUUGAAGGAAUGAUCUGCAUAUUCAGUGGGUCUAAUGUGAACAUCUCUAGUACUGCCUGUGUAUUUAUGAGUUAGAUAUUGUAUUGUGUGUCACUUUAUUUUCACUGUAGUUUAGUGGGAUUGCACAUUGAAUGUGUUGUCAUAUUUUACUUUGCUAUGAGAGAUCUAAUGGGCAGCUACCAGCCCCAGUCUGUGUAUUAGUACAAAUAUUUAUUAUGCUUAUCACAGCAUUUUAAGGCCAUGCCUCAGGCCAUUAACUCAUGCCUGACUUUUUUAUGAGAAACAUGUCAGAACUAAUAAACAAUCACUCAUGCUUGGGAUCUUUGAAAUCA